CGCCGAGACCCGUUUCCUCGACCCGGAAACCUGCGCCGGCAACCCGAUUCCGUCUCCAUCUUCCGGCCACGACACAGCGGCGAACCGAGUCCUUUUCUAUUCGUCUACUCAAAGUCGGCGUCCUCCUGGUCACGGAUCGUCCAUUCGACGACGGAAGGCGACAAAACGAGGUUGAGAAACCGCUGCAACUCCGGCGAUUUUCCGGCGACUCCGGUCACC
rnacentral:lncRNA from 1 species